ensembl:lncRNA
CUUCAGUUCCACUUCCAUUUGUCUCAGGCGGUCUGUGGGAUUGGCAAGAGAGGUGGACGUCAAUAUGCAGAAGAACGACACAGGCCCCACCCACCACACUGAAGAGCAGACACCUAUCUUGAAUCAUUCACCUAUAGCUGGACAUAAGACCCCCACCAAUGGCUGUGAAUCUGAACCCACUCACGCCUGUGCAAAAGUUACCUCUUCUCAUCUGCUUCUUCAGGACCAGGAUGUCCCAAGUGGCCCUAACCUUUGAAUAUCACUCUUGGAGACCCAUAUCUCCUCCCCAAGGCUGGGGAGUUUGCAGGGGAUGAAGGUUGCUAUGAAGACCAAUAGCCA